AACAUAAAUAUUAUCAUUAGUUUAAAAUCAAAAUAUGUUAAUUUUUUAUCUGCGGGACAUUUGCAUGUUUAUACGGGACGCGGGACAUUUCACUCUUGUGCGGGACUGUCCCACGCAUUGCGGGACGUCUGGUAACCCAAUGUCCCGGGAACAAAACUUGAUAAAUCCCCGAGAUGAUAAGCGGGACAGCUUUCGAACAGUGAAAACGAUUGGAUGUGAGAAAACUUUCACGAGAUGAAAGUUUUUCGUUUUCAAUGAACCAUUGUAAGAUAAAGGUACCAGUAGUUGACCAGUUAAGGGGAAUUUCUGUUGAUAAAUACUAGUCAAG
rnacentral:lncRNA from 1 species